UUGUGGUGAUGAAACUAUUUUGUGUCUUAACUGUGGUGGUGGUGAUGUGAAUCUAUGCAAAUGAUAAAAUUGCAUAAAACUUCACACAUAUGCAAGCACACACACUGUGGCACAUAAAACUUGUGAAAUCUGAACAAG
rnacentral:snoRNA from 1 species